AAGUUUGAAAUAAAUUUUUAUAUUCAGUUUCGACCUGAAAUUUAGUUAUAUUAUAACUCUAACUUG
rnacentral:tRNA from 1 species